rnacentral:lncRNA from 12 species
AUGAGACAGGCAAAUGUGAAAUACGCAGAGAACCACACAAGGCAGUCUAUAAUUAAGGACCAAACUGUGCAGGCUGAGAUUCCUGCCAGUGAAGUGAAGAAUCAAGGGAGGAGCUGGCAGGCGGCUCACACCGGGCAAGGAGACCAGGACUGGAAGAUGAGAAGGAGAAUAGCAUCGGAUCCUCCUAGAGAUUGGAGGCCAGGCCGGAGCAGCAGCUGAAGGAAGACAAGUUAGUGAUGCCACUGACGCAGAGAGACUCUCCCGGCCAGGGGACUGGUUGGACGGGAAUGAGUCACUGCUGAUGCCUUAUAUUCAGCCUGGGGCAGGGGGAGGGGGGUCUGGAUGGGUAGGGAAGCCUUUGGCUGACUUAAGGAAACUGGGGCUGAGCUGAGGAAACUGGAUAGAGGACAUAUCUGAGAAGAUAAGAAGACAUUGGAGCUUGGAGCACCUGGGUGGCUCAGUGGUUGAAUGUCCGCCUCCGGCCCAGAGCAUGAUCCCGGGGUCCUGGGACUGAGUCCCACUUCGGGCUCCUGGUGCAUGGAGCCUGCUUCUCCCUCUGCCUGUGUCUCUGUCUCUCUCUCUGUGUCUCUCAUGAAAAAAUACAUAAAAUCUUAAAAAAAAGAUGUCGGAACUGGAGGCAGGGGUGUGGGAAGGCCCCAGAGAGGUGUCAGAGAUCCCUGCCAUCGAGGCAGCCAAGAAGGGUAAAUAGCUGGAGGAGAUUGGCACAGGGUUAUGCUGAAGAAAGACAAUCUUGAACAAAUAUUCUCCUUCCAGGUUCACCUCGCUAUCCCUGAAAUAGGAAGCAAGACUCUUGCUCUACACAGGCUGCCCUGGCUCAAGAAGGCGGGGGCCCAUCACCCUUUCAUGGACGGUGGUGCCUUGUCCUGACAUGGCCCAGGCCUGGCUGUUGGACUAGGCUGCAGUCUCUCUUGAGGGCACGUAUCCCACAGGGAUGGCGCAGGCCCCAGCAGGUGCAGGACAGCCCGGCUGCCAUCAAGCAAACCAGAAUCUCACAGUAGCACACGAGAAGGCCCCAGAGGAGCCGCCAACCUUGGUGUUCACCAAGCGCUGACCCUGGCAAAGUGCCUGCGCAUCUGAUGAGGGCAAGUGGGCCGCAGGCCUCGAUGGUCAGGGGCCCCGGAGUUGAUCAAUGGAGAAGAUUCAUCUCAUUGUCCCACGUUCCUGAUGUUACACUGAAAGCCCUGAGAACCUCAAAUGGAUGACAUCAAGAAAGGAUCAUGUUCCAGUAUUUCUGCGUUUGAUUUUUAAAGUCAGCUCAUAACCCUGUUAGGGGUUUUGAACUAAGGUAGCACUGCCCAUGUGACUCAUUAGCCCCCCGCCCCUCCCCCCCCACACACAAAGGCAGUCACUGGCAGGAAAAUGAGACUGCUCACCGCCCACCAUCACAACGAGACAACCAAAAAUGAAUUUACAGGAGAACCUGGAGUUCCCAUAAGUAUAAAAUAUGUGAAGCUACCCAGGACAAGUCUCAGGGAGAAAGACACCAUCUAGAUUCUGGGUUAGCUCUUCACUGAUGGCGCGCCAUCCUCUGCUUAAAUGUUGUGAAAUGUUUAUUUGGUGAAGAAACUGGUAAUUUCUUGGGGUGAGAGAGUAUGAAGGUCACAGCAUUGCCCAUGAAUAAUCUUGCCAAUAAUGUUUAACCUGAAUCUAAUUAAGACUUACUUUCCAGUUCACAGUGAAUACAGAGUAUGAAGGAAAAACUUAAGAGUGCCAGAUGGAAAUAACCUGACAAACUGAAAUUGUGGGAAGGGCAGGUAGUUACUGGCUUUGCUGUCAUGGCACCCAUUUCCUAUCCACUUGUUCUUUGCCCACAUCCCUAUAAAGCAGCUGAAAAACCUGAUACUUGAUUUCCCAGCCACGCCCUCCGCCCCAACCCCUUGCAUCUAGAAGCAAUCAGAAGAUCCAGUUGUGGUCAAUGAGAAGCAAAGGGAAAUCCACUGGAGGCUUCUAAGGAAGACUUUCCUCCUUGAUGGAAAGAGAAAGGUACAUGGGGAGAGCGAGCCCCAUUUUUUCCAUCCCCUAUUCUUCCUGCCUGAGAUGCUGCCUUGUGAGAAUGUGAUGUUUGGAGCUAUGGCAGUCAUCUUACACCUAAUGAGGGAAACAUGGUGGACCCAGGGAGUGUAUUGGUUAUCUACUGCUGUGUCACAGACUACCUCACAACUUAAUAGCUUAAAAUAACAUUUAUGGGGAUGCUUGGGUGGCUCAGUUGGUUAAGCAUCUGGCUCAGGUUGUGGUCCUGGGGUCCUGGGAUUGAGCCCCACGUCCAUCCAACCCCGAUGCCCUUUCCCCUCACUCAUGCAUUUCACUCUCUAAAUAAAUAAAUAAAAUCUUAAAAAUAUAUAUUUAUG